CACGUAGGGCGCGAGCGUUGUCCGGAAUUACUGGGCGUAAAGCGCGCGUAGGCGGACCUGCAAGUCGGAUGUGAAAUCCCUCGGCUCAACUGAGGAAGUGCAUCCGAAACUGGCAGGCUUGAGUACUAAAGAGGGUCGCGGAAUUCCCGGUGUAGAGGUGAAAUUCGUAGAUAUCGGGAGGAACACCGGUGGCGAAGGCGGCGACCUGGGUAGAUACUGACGCUGAGGUGCGAAAGCGUGGGGAGCAAACAGG
rnacentral:rRNA from 1 species